UAUGGCCACAUCACGUUGAAACACCGGUUCCCGCACGAUCACUGAAGUUAAGCAACGUCGAGCAUAGUCAGUACCUAGAUAUAUGAUCUCUUACGAAUGCCAGAUGCAGUAA